UAGGGAAUCUUCGGCAAUGGGGGGUACCCUGACCGAGCAACGCCGCGUGAGUGAAGAAGGUUUUCGGAUCGUAAAGCUCUGUUGUUAAGGAAGAACGAGUGUGAGAAUGGAAAGUUCAUACUGUGACGGUACUUAACCAGAAAGGGACGGCUAACUACGUGCCAGCAGCCGCGGUAAUACGUAGGUCCCGAGCGUUGUCCGGAUUUAUUGGGCGUAAAGCGAGCGCAGGCGGUUAGAUAAGUCUGAAGUUAAAGGCAGUGGCUCAACCAUUGUAGGCUUUGGAAACUGUUUAACUUGAGUGCAGAAGAGGAGAGUGGAAUUCCAUGUGUAGCGGUGAAAUGCGUAGAUAUAUGGAGGAACACCGGUGGCGAAAGCGGCUCUCUGGUCUGUAACUGACGCUGAGGCUCGAAAGCGUGGGGAGCGAACAGG
rnacentral:rRNA from 1 species